rnacentral:rRNA from 1 species
GACGAACGCUGGCGGCGUGCUUAACACAUGCAAGUCGAACGGUGACAUCGGUGCUUGCACCGGUUGAUCAGUGGCGAACGGGUGAGUAACACGUGAGCAACCUGCCCCUGACUCUGGGAUAACUUCGGGAAACCGGAGCUAAUACCGGAUAUGAACUCUGACGGCAUCUUCAGGGUUGGAAAGAACUUCGGUCAGGGAUGGGCUCGCGGCCUAUCAGCUUGUUGGUGGGGUAACGGCCCACCAAGGCGACGACGGGUAGCCGGCCUGAGAGGGCGACCGGCCACACUGGGACUGAGACACGGCCCAGACUCCUGCGGGAGGCAGCAGUGGGGAAUAUUGCACAAUGGGCGAAAGCCUGAUGCAGCGACGCCGCGUGAGGGAUGAAGGCCUUCGGGUUGUAAACCUCUUUCAGCAGGGAAGAAGCGAAAGUGACGGUACCUGCAGAAGAAGCACCGGCUAACUACGUG